rnacentral:misc_RNA from 1 species
CAGAGAACAUGCCCUUCGGGGUAUAUCUCCCACCCUUUGUAUACAAUACCUUUUGUUGCUUUGGCAGGCCUGUCUUACGACUACUGGCUUUAGCUGGUCCGUGCCUGCCAGAGGACCCCAACAUUCUUUUUAUUAUGUCGUCUGAGUACUAUAAAAUAGUUA